AACUAACAAGGAUUCCCCGAGUAGCGGCGAGCGAAACGGGAAGAGCCCAGCGCUGAAUCCUGCCGCCCGGGCGGGCGGCCGGGAAAUGUAGCGUUAGGUAGGAGAGUCAAACAUAUACGCGCGGUCAUUAGUCACGGCUGCCGGUCCAAGUUCAUCUUGAACGGGGCCGCUUACCCGCAGAGGGUGCCAGGCCCGUGGCGACGGUAGCCGGCCGCGACGGUCUCCCUACCCAGAGUCGGGUUGCUUGAGAGUGCAGCCCCAAGAGGGUGGUAAACUCCAUCUAAGGCUAAACACCACCACGGGACCGAUAGCGAACAAGUACCG
rnacentral:rRNA from 1 species